UACGUAGGUGGCAAGCGUUGUCCGGAAUUAUUGGGCGUAAAGCGCGCGCAGGUGGUUUCUUAAGUCUGAUGUGAAAGCCCACGGCUCAACCGUGGAGGGUCAUUGGAAACUGGGGAACUUGAGUGCAGAAGAGGAAAGUGGAAUUCCAAGUGUAGCGGUGAAAUGCGUAGAGAUUUGGAGGAACACCAGUGGCGAAGGCGACUUUCUGGUCUGUAACUGACACUGAGGCGCGAAAGCGUGGGGAGCAAACGGG
rnacentral:rRNA from 1 species